GAUUACUUACAUUAUUCCAACCAUUUGAGUUACUUGCUUGACAUGUGAGUAGACCUCCAUGCAAGUACUCUCGUUCGAUUGUGUUCAGUGAACUCAUUCCCUUAAUGAGCACCUACAUACUUGUCUUAGUGUCACAACACGAAUGGGAUGAGACUUUUCAUCCUUCCAAUUGAAGCGGACACAGUAUGUACCGGUCUACGCAUUGUCAGUAUCCCUCCGACAAUCCAACGACCAGGAACCUUUUGGACAUAAUGGUUAUGUGAAGAAGGUCUCUGUAGUCUAACAUCAUUAGAUUACUUCUCUAAUCGAUCCAUUGUGCAUGGAUACACUAUUCAGGACAUAUAUCGUUUAUUGAGAUAGUCCUAAUUAGCAUCUUUGCCAUUUGAUGUAUAAGAAUCAUCCAUACAUCGAUUCAUUUGUCCUGAAAGAUUUCUUCCAAAGAUUGACUUUCAGGGCAUAUUUCCAACAUGGACUCUCCUUUCCUUUGAACUUGUACAACUAGCAGUUUCUAAACUCAAAAAAUUGCAAAGCAAACACAAUACUUAAUACAAACUUAAAUACAUAUACAAAUAUUACUAGUAUACUUUUAAUUAUUACAAGCCACAAAUACUAAAAGUUCUUAAUAAAAUAAAUACAAAAUGAAAGAGAGAAACUUAUUAAGUUCUAGUAGCAAAUACCGCACAGUGCACACGCACUAACAAAGGGUUUGUCCAAUCAGUGAAAGACAAGUACUUGUUCAGGCAAUCACGUCGAUAGAAGGCUCAUGGAUUUCUUUCUUGUCAACCUGGCCAGGAGUGAUCAAUCAUUUCUCCAUGAUAUUUGAAGGAAAUUUUGUGAAAACAUGUUCAUUUGAGCAACAUCUAUGGCAUGCAAUUAACAAUUAAAGGCGGAUUCAUGCUUGUAUGCACUCAAACAAAACAUUACCUAUGAAAUUCAAAGCCUCGUAGUUAU
rnacentral:lncRNA from 1 species